UUUUACCUUAAAAUAAUGCAUCUUAGUGUCUCUCGGAGCACCCACUUGCCAAUUUCACUUUCAGAACAAGAAAAGCUUGCUCCACAACAGUCUUUUAACUGCUUUUCCAUUUGAAAUUCAAAUUCAAACGGUUCCCAUAUGAGACUACCUUACAGCAUUUAUCUUAUCUGUUAACAUUACUAUAGAACAAGACCAAAGAGCUCAAAGUUUGGAACGUCUUCAACUGCCUAACUACUCAUUGGGAUUGGGUAACCAUCUUGUCUCAUGCAGCCACAACCCUUCUCCUAUGCUGCUGGCUUUCCCAAUGAAGCCAAUCAGGGUGACCCUGUUUAUGCUCUUGGACAGUCCAUCUCUUUUGGGAAGUUCGUGUCCGAGUCUUUAGCUUGGAAGAAAUGUUCCACAUUCUCUCAUAAUCGAUAUGUUGAAGAGGCUAAGAGAUUCUCUCGCCCUGGCUCGGUUGCUCAGAAGAAAGCUUUCUUUGAAGCACAUUUUAAAAAUCUUGCUGCAAGAAAAGCAGCUGCAUUGCUUGAGCAAGCAAAUGCUGCAGCAAACAAUGUGCCUGAAUCUGCACAAGAAGGUGGAGUUCAAGAAAAUGCAGCCCAAGAUGACAAUGGACAUAACUCUCAUGUUGAAAUGGAAAAAUCUGAAAGCAGAAAUGUGGAGGAAGUUGAUCCUGGUAACGACGAGAAGAUGAAAGAAACAGAGCUUAGUAGAAGAAAACUAAUGGAGAAACCUUCGUUAAAGGAUUUAAUCUCUAAUGGAGAUCAUUUGGAUUCAAGAAGCAAUAAUAAACCUGUAGUUUAUUCCUCUGAGCUGUUGUUUUCUGGGACAGCAUCUAAGCUGCCAUGUACACCUGCUAAAGCUGCAGCUUCAGUUAUUGCAAGAAAAGAUAGCAAUGCCACUCCAAUCAGAAAGAAAUCUGCAAUAGACUUCAUGGGUAAAAAGAAAUCAACUCCAAAAUCAACUUACAGGUCAAUGAAUUUCACUCCAGUCAGAGAAAUAAAUAGAAUAACUUCAGCAAUUAUCAGGAAGAUUGAUUGUUCUAAAGUUACUUCUGAUUCUAAGGCAUUGAAAGAUUGCCCAACUCCACCAAGGACUCCAACCACGGUGCCUGUGAUAAGAGAACUUGAACAUCCUCUAGCCUCCCCUCUGUCAGAAAACAAAAGGGCAACUACACCUCUUCACCCCUCGGCAUCUGGAAGCAAAACAGUUCGCUCGAAAUGGCUUUUCCUCCCAACAGAUUGCUCAAAAUUCAUGAGUGCCUGCAGAAACAAAUCUCCAUCCCCAAAUUUAUCUACACCUUUUAGCUUGAGGACUGAAGAAAGAGCUGCAAGAAGAAAGGAGAGGCUUGAAGAGAAAUUCAAUGCCAAUCAAGCACAAACAGUUCAGUUGCAAGCAACGCUCAAGGAGAAGGCAGAAACAGAACUUAAAAGACUGCGUCAAACUCUCUGCUUCAAGGCCAGGCCGCUGCCUGAAUUUUAUAGAGAAAGGGCAACGACAAAAAACCAGGUGGAAAAGUCACCCAACAUAGGAAGAACAUCCACAUCCAAUCCCAGCAUGGCACAGAGCACGUCUCAACCACAUAACAGGUCUUCAUUCAAGAAUGGCAGAUCUAAGCAUGCCAUGGGAAAGAAAAGCGAGAAUUCACUAUCUCUAGCUUCACGAUUCAGAUCAAUCACUCGUGAGAAUACUUCUCAAAUAUUCAGCAUUCUGGACGAUGAAAAGUUCAAGGCAUGGUGAGGCCGCAUGCCAAAAUUAAUUUUCCAGGGGUUCCAGUUAUGGCAAAUGCAUACAUGUUUGCAGAUGUACUCUCUCUGUAAUCUGUAUUUUGAAGGAACAGGGCGUCAGACAGUUUAUUUGUAUAAACGCAGGCCAUGCAGAACCAUUUGGAUUUGUAAACAGAACUGUUUGAAAUUGGCUUCUGCAUUACUUUCAAUUAUUAUUA